AAAGAUUUUUGCUUGAAACCUUGCUGAAGAAACACCACGCAUAUUUGAUACCAUAGGAAAGGAAAAAAAUGAGCAGAACCAUAUACCCAUCUUCCAUUGCAAUUACUGCAGAGGAGAGAUUGAGAAGUAAAAAUGAAAUAUUUCAAGGAUGAAUGGGCACUGAAAAUUGGUAAA